GGUUAAGCUAGUAAGAGCGCACGGAGGAUGCCUAGGCACCAGGAGCCGAAGAAGGACGUGGCGAACAACGAUACCGCCCCGGGGAGCCGUAAGCAGGCAUUGAUCCGAGGAUUUCCGAAUGGGGAAACCCAGCUGUCGUAAUGGACAGUUACUCUCAACUGAAUACAUAGGUUGGGUAGAGGCAUACCAGGGGAACUGAAACAUCUAAGUACCCUGAGGAAGAGAAAACAAUAGUGAUUCCGUCAGUAGCGGCGAGCGAACGCGGAUUAGCCCAAACCAAGGAGCUUGCUCCUUGGGGUUGUAGGACGUCUCACAUGGAGUUACAAAGGUGUUUGGUAGGCGAAGAGGUCUGGAAAGGCCCGCCAGAGCAGGUAAAAGCCCUGUAACCGAAAGCAAGCACCCUCCGAGACGGAUCCUGAGUACGGCGGGACACGUGAAACCCCGUCGGAAUCCGGCAGGACCAUCUGCCAAGGCUAAAUACUCCCUGGUGACCGAUAGUGAAGCAGUACCGUGAGGGAAAGGUGAAAAGCACCGCGGAAGCGGAGUGAAAAAGAACCUGAAACCGUGCGCUUACAAAAAGUCAGAGCCCGUUAAAUGGGUGAUGGCGUGCCUUUUGUAGAAUGAACCGGCGAGUUACGAUCACGUGCAAGGUUAAGUCGGGAAGACGGAGCCGUAGCGAAAGCGAGUCUGAAUAGGGCGAAUAAGUACGUGGUCGUAGACCCGAAACCGUGUGAUCUACCCCUGUCCAGGGUGAAGGUGCGGUAACACGCACUGGAGGCCCGAACCCACGCAUGUUGAAAAAUGCGGGGAUGAGGUGGGGGUAGCGGAGAAAUUCCAAUCGAACUCGGAGAUAGCUGGUUCUCCCCGAAAUAGCUUUAGGGCUAGCCUCGAGGAAUGAGCGUCGUGGAGGUAGAGCACUGAUUGGGUGCGGGGCCCGCCAAGGGUUACCAAGUCCAGUCAAACUCCGAAUGCCAUAGACGUGCUACUCGGGAGUCAGACAGUGAGUGCUAAGAUCCAUUGUCAAGAGGGAAACAGCCCAGAUCAUCAGCUAAGGUCCCCAAGUGUGUGUUAAGUGGGAAAGGAUGUGGAGUUGCAAAGACAACCAGGAUGUUGGCUUAGAAGCAGCCACCAUUUAAAGAGUGCGUAAUAGCUCACUGGUCGAGUGACUCUGCGCCGAAAAUGUAACGGGGCUAAACACACCACCGAAGCUAUGACAUGUACCAUUAGGUACUUGGGUAGGGGAGCGUUGAAUACGGAUUGAAGUUGGACCGUGAGGACUGGUGGACUGUAUUCAAGUGAGAAUGCCGGUAUGAGUAACGAAAAGACAAGUGAGAAUCUUGUCCGCCGAAAGCCUAAGGGUUCCUGAGGAAGGCUCGUCCUCUCAGGGUAAGUCGGGACCUAACGCGAGGCCGAAAGGCGUAGUGGAUGGACAACAGGUUGAAAUUCCUGUACCACCGAAGAUUGUUUGAGCAAUGGGGUGACACAGAAGGGCAGUGACGCGGACUGAUGGAAUAGUCCGUCCAAGCAGUGAGGCUAGUGUGUAGGCAAAUCCGCACACUAUUAGGCUGGGCUGUGAUGGGGAGCGAAAAUUGCAGUAGCGAAGGUCAUGUACUCCGGCUGUCAAGAAAAGCCUCUAGUGAGAUCUAGGUGCCCGUACCGCAAACCGACACAGGUAGGCGAGCAGAGCAUGCUAAGGCGCGCGGAAGAACUCUCGUUAAGGAACUCGGCAAAAUGACCUCGUAACUUCGGGAGAAGAGGUGCCUCGGUAGGGUGAAUAGCCCGAGGGGGCCGCAGUGAAAAGGCCCAAGCGACUGUUUAGCAAAAACACAGGUCUGUGCGAAGCCGUAAGGCGAAGUAUACGGGCUGACGCCUGCCCGGUGCUGGAAGGUUAAGGGGAGCGGUUAGG
rnacentral:rRNA from 1 species